rnacentral:lncRNA from 1 species
CGAACGAUACCAGAGGGAAAGUCAACCUCAAGAUAUAUUUAAGGUUGUUCUAUUUAGAAAAAAAUAAAUAAAAAUAUAUUCUUAUAUUUAAUUACAUCUGCAUAUAUCAAUAAGACAUACCAUUUGUUAUUCUACAUACAUUAUUUAACCAGUUUUUAUUGAAUUAUAGUGACACAGUUCAUGAUGUGCUAUACAAGCGUUUACAAAAUAAAUACAGUUAUCAUUUACAGUCUAUUUAUUAAAUGGAAUCUUUUCAAGUUGUAGAAAAAUAAAUAAGUAUGAACAGAUUUGCGUCUUAUUAGAUUUUCAGGCCUUUAGUACUUAAAAAAGGUUGAUUGUGCGCAUCUUUGUUUUUCUGCUAAUACUAUGAAUUGACGUUAUAAAGGAAAACUCGUCCACUUCACAGUACUACGUAUGUUUUUAAUUUUCUUAAUGGACUUAUAUAAUUGAAUGUAUUUGUCUAAGCUACAUGUUACAUAAUUCAAAUAUUAACGUAAGCAGUUUCAUCAAAAUUAAAGCACAUGUAUAUGGAUAUUAGAUACUAGAUACGACAUGAUACGAUACAAAUAUCAAAGAGCCUAUCAUUAUUGAUAUGAAUCCACCUUCAAGCAUAGAUAGAUUCAUUAUAUUUUUUAACAAAUGAAAAGGCCAAAAAUUGUCCCCAUCAAUAAGAUUAUGUUUAAGUUAAGUGGAUAUUUUAAAAAGUCGUUGGCUAAAAUUUAUUACGCAAUUAUAAGAAUGGAAACAGACACCUUUAAGAACUGAUGUCAGAUAUGUACUGUACACCCUUUUCCUGUCUAUGAAAAAAACGGCAUUACGUGCUGCUUUCGAAACAAGGUUUCCAAUUUGCUAUAUUUGAAAAUAACUAAUAGAAUUAUAUGUUGGUGAUAAUAUCGUAUUUGGAUGCUGACCUAGUAACGCUAGCCAAACUUAAUCACUGCCAACAAUAGUAUUCGAAUACAGAUUAGAUUUAAUGAUUAAAGAUUUACAAAUAUACAAAAAUCAAUGAUAUUUAAAGUAAUCAUUUUAGGGGAAAACCCAAUAACAAACAUGUCGACAUACCA